GACGAACGCUGGCGGCGUGCUUAAUACAUGCAAGUCAACUUGACUUUUAGAUAGCAAUAUCGAAAAGUAGGGGUGGCGCACGGGUGCGUAACGCGUAGGUAAUCUGCCCUGAGGUCUGACAUAACCCGUCGAAAGGCGGGCUAACAUCAGAUGAUAUAUAGUCACGACAUCGUGGAAAUAUCAAAUCUUCGGAGCCUUGGGAUGAGCCUGCGUCUGAUUUAGGGUAGUUUGGCGGAGUAAUAGCCCACCAAGCCUGCGAUCAGUAGCUGGUCUGAGAGGAUGAUCAGCCACACUGGAACUGAAACACGGU
rnacentral:rRNA from 1 species